rnacentral:rRNA from 1 species
UCGAACGCGAAGCCCCCUUCGGGGGGCAAGUAGAGUGGCGCACGGGUGAGUAACACGUAGGUAAUCUACCUUUGGAUGGGGAAUAACCACCGGAAACGGUGGCUAAUACCGCAUAAUGCAGCGGCACCUAAUGGUGACAGUUGUUAAAGCGGGGGAUCGCAAGACCUCGCGUCUAAAGAGGAGCCUGCGGCGGAUUAGCUAGUUGGUAAGGUAACGGCUUACCAAGGCGAUGAUCCGUAGCCGGCCUGAGAGGGCGGUCGGCCACACUGACACUGACAUACGGGUCAGACUCCUACGGGAGGCAGCAGUCGGGAAUUUUGGGCAAUGGGCGAAAGCCUGACCCAGCAACGCCGCGUGAAGGAUGAAAUCCUUCGGGAUGUAAACUUCGCAAGAACGGGAAGAAUAAGCCGGUGUCAACACCACCGGCGAUGACGGUACUGUUUGUAAGCUCCGGCUAACUCCGUGCCAGCAGCCGCGGUAAUACGGGGGGAGCAAGCGUUG